rnacentral:rRNA from 1 species
UAGGGAAUCUUCGGCAAUGGACGAAAGUCUGACCGAGCAACGCCGCGUGAGUGAAGAAGGUUUUCGGAUCGUAAAACUCUGUUGUUAGAGAAGAACAAGGACGUUAGUAACUGAACGUCCCCUGACGGUAUCUAACCAGAAAGCCACGGCUAACUACGUGCCAGCAGCCGCGGUAAUACGUAGGUGGCAAGCGUUGUCCGGAUUUAUUGGGCGUAAAGCGAGCGCAGGCGGUUUCUUAAGUCUGAUGUGAAAGCCCCCGGCUCAACCGGGGAGGGUCCUUGGAAACUGGGCGACUUGAGUGCAGAAGCGGAGAGUGGAAUUCCAUGUGUAGCGGUGAAAUGCGUAGAUAUAUGGAGGAACACCAGUGGCGAAGGCGGCUCUCUGGUCUGUAACUGACGCUGAGGCUCGAAAGCGUGGGGAGCAAACAGG